rnacentral:tRNA from 1 species
AGUUAAAUACUUAAUGAAAGUCACGUGUUUUGAAAGCACGAAUAAGGGGUUUAAAUCCCCUAUUAACUU